UCCUGGGGCCGUGCCCGCCGGGGAGACUCCCCCGCCCGGGCCCGCCCCGGCUGCGCGCUGAGGCGGCGGCGGAGCGCGGCGGGGCCGCCCGGCCAUGGAGCGCUACGAGAAGCUGGGCAAGGUCGGGGAGGGCUCCUACGGCGUCGUCUUCAAGUGCCGCAACAAGGACACGGGGCAGAUCGUGGCCAUCAAGAAGUUCCUGGAGUCCGAGGAGGACCCGGUGAUCCGGAAGAUCGCCCUGAGGGAGAUCCGCAUGCUCAAGCGACUCAAGCACCCCAACCUGGUGAAGCUGCUGGAGGUGUUCAGGAGGAAGCGGCGGCUGCACCUGGUGUUCGAGUACUGCGAGCACACCGUGCUGCAUGAGCUGGACAAGCACCCCCGCGGGCUGCCAGAGCACCUGGUGAAGAGCAUAACCUGGCAGACCCUGCAGGCCGUGAACUUCUGCCACAAACACAAUUGCAUCCACCGGGAUGUGAAGCCAGAGAACAUCCUGAUAACAAAGCACUCGGUCAUCAAACUCUGUGACUUCGGAUUUGCUCGAAUACUGACUGGUCCCUGUGACUACUACACCGACUACGUGGCCACCCGGUGGUACCGCUCCCCGGAGCUGCUGGUGGGGGACACCCAGUACGGCCCCCCCGUGGACGUGUGGGCCAUCGGCUGCGUGUUCGCCGAGCUGCUCUCGGGGCUGCCCCUGUGGCCGGGCAAGUCGGACGCGGACCAGCUGUACCUCAUCCGCAGGACCCUGGGUGAGUGUCCCCAGCUGUACCUCAUCCGCAGAACCCUGGGUGAGUGUCCCCAGCUGUACCUCAUCCGCAGGACCCUGGGUGAGUGUCCCCAGCUGUACCUCAUCCGCAGGACCCUGGGUGAGUGUCCCCAGGUGUCCCUCAUCCUCAGGACCCUGGGUGAGUGUCCCCAGCUGUACCCCAUCCGCAGGACCCUGGGUGAGUGUCCCAGGUGUCCCUCAUCCACAGAACCCUGGGUGAGUGUCCCCAGGUGUCCCUCAUCCGCAGGACCCUGGGUGAGUGUCCCCAGGUGUACCCCAUCCUCAGGACCCUGGGUGAGUGUCCCCAGGUGUCCCUCAUCCUCAGGACCCUGGGUGAGUGUCCCCAGCUGUACCUCAUCCGCAGGACCCUGGGUGAGUGUCCCCAGCUGUACCUCAUCCGCAGGACCCUGGGGGAUCUCAUUCCCAGGCACCAGCAAGUGUUCAGCACCAACCAGUUCUUCAGUGGGGUACGAAUUCCAGACCCAGAGAGCAUGGAACCAUUAGAAGUGAAAUUCCCCAACAUUUCAUACUCUGCACUGGCUCUCAUGAAGGGCUGCCUUCGGAUGGACCCUGCAGAGAGGCAGAGCUGUGAGCAGCUGCUGCAGCACCCCUAUUUUGACAGCCUCAGGGAGGCAGCAGAGCUGGGCAGAGAACCCCAGAAGGGCACUCGGAAAGCAGCCAGGCUGACUCGGAAGCACGUGCCAGGGUUACAGCACCUGCCUCAGCUGACCUGCAGCAAAGUUCUCCCAGCUCUGGACAGCAAGAACUGCUGCAAGACAAGGAAAUCAAAGUACCACUUCCCAAACAUCUGACCAGGUGGCACAUCAAAACUCAGUUGUUUGCAGUCACCCAGGAUUUAUAAAGGGAGGAUACGCAGUGGAACACUCAAUUUCUAGAAGCUAUGGCAUGUACAGUGAUCUGCCCCCUGCUCUGGGUCACUGACGGAGAGGAAGCGAUGCAGAAAGAACUCCAAGCUCAUCCUAGCGUUCUGUGUACAAAGGCAAAUGCCUUCUGCUUUAGUUCCUGAUUGCCUCCGGGUUCAGGAGUACCCCAAGAAAUUCAAAACUCUGUCCCUGCAUUUCAGACGUGGCAGGAGAGCUGCACCUUGCCAAAUACAGCAGGCCCUCCUGCUUUAGGCUGGCGCGAGUCCCUGCUCUGCGAGGAGCUGUGCCUGUGCUGCAGGGCUGAAGAUGGGUUGGUGCAGCCCAGCUGGCAGGGCUGCCUGCUCCAGGGAGGUCUCAGCUCCAGAGACGCACCGGGCUCACUCCUGCCCCUACAGAGCUCAAAGGUCUCCAGCUGCUGCUGGGGGCUUCAGAGCUCCCCCGGCACCAGAACAGAGCAGCAGCCCUGCUGUUUCUUUAGUCUUUCCAGAGCUUCUGCAAGCUUCGGCCUUGGAUUCUGCUUCUGACAAGAGUGAGGGCACUUGCUUGUAGUUACAGAAAUGAUUUUAUCAAAACUAAUCAUGAAUGUAAUUUAUAACAUUGGCCAGACACAGGCAGGAAUUCUACCUACGUGUUUGUAUUAGAACGACUGGGGUUUGUAGAAUCUCAGAAUAUAAUAUGGUGAUGAUCUUGAAUAAAAGAAAUGUAGCUUCUUUUUCCAAUUUA